GUGUGAUAUGAAAGGAGAGAAGGUUAGCACUCCCCUUGACAAGGAGGGAAGAGGCCCUUGGGCCUUACAACACGCGCACAGUUAAGGCAUUGCCACCUAUUUGGUGGCAUCUAACCAUGGUUUUUA
rnacentral:ncRNA from 1 species